UAGCCCGACAGCAAAAAACUAGUAUUUUUUCUUUCGGGCUUGUAGGAAAUCCAAUAUUACAAGCCCGACGUGCUUGUAAAAUUCAGAAAACAAAAAACGAGUUCCACUUUCAUUUUCAAUAUUUAUAAAUAAAGUUUUAAGCCGCUUAUAUCAACUGCCGCUUAUGUAUUUAACACAUUGCGCACAUGUGCUGCGCAAUCAGCCGAAGCACAUGGUUUUGUGGUUCCCGGAUUACUAUUAUGAAAAUAAAUGUUUUGCGUUGCGUUCGGUACACAGAGGGUGUAAUGGCCGAACAGUUAUUGAAAUACGUCGCGGGGGCGAAACCUGGAAAGCGAGCGCCAACUCAAGUUUCUAUUUUCUGGUGGUUUGCUCUCUCUUUUGCGAUACAAAAGAGUCUGGAUCAGAUGAGGAAGCUGACUUGGAGGUCGAUGAGGAUGAAAUAAAUCAGAGAGUUUUAAUGUAUUCUCAAGAUUGUUGAAUAAAUGAAUGCUUCUUU